GGGUGAGGGGCGCCACCGAGGAAGCGCCCACCGGGCUCCCGGGGCUGCCAGGCCCCAAAUUGAGGAAGUUGACUGCCAGAUCACACUCUGUUGGCCCACGCAGAUAGAUUCCAUUCAUCCUUUCUAAUGUCUACACCAUAUUUUGGAUAACAUGCCAUCAUCUCACAUUGUGUUGAAAGAAGAAACCAGAAUGUUGGGGUUGAUGUAUGCCAUAUGGAUGAAUUUAAACAGUUUCGGCCUUGCAAUAAUUGGUAUACUUCUAAUUGCAUGUGAAAUUAUACUCUUUUUAACGAAAGAUGAAACUAUUCAGUGGCCACAUGUACCCAGUAACAGAGGGAGCAAAGCAAAUCUUAUCCUCAAAGAACUGCAGCUGCUUGUUAGAUCUACCUGGUGGUUCCAUAGAGAAACUGCUCAGAGAACCUGCCUUUACCUCGCCUAAAACAGAACUAUCCCGGAGCUCAGUUCAUCAACUCAGGAUCCAGUAGUGUAAUACAGAAGCCUGUUACGAGAUAUAAGCAAUUGUAAUGAACAGCAUAACUAUUUGUGUGACUACACUUGGUAUAAUUCUAUUAAGCAUGGAGAUUGCAACUUUUGCAUUAAAUGCAACCACAUACAAUUGGUCAAACGCACUUUGCCCUCGGAAAUCUCACUGUCGGAAUCCUUGGAAAUCACACCACGCACAACUUCUAUUUCUUCAUAAUUUGCAAAGAACCAGUGUGACUCCAGUCAAGAACAAAAGAUUAAUUGUGAAUUAGCGAAGAACUCUAAUUUUUUCAAGCAGCCACAUGGAAAACGCAUUCUAAUGAAAUCCUUUCCAUUGCUCUUUUUUCUUAGUUCUUCAAUAAAGCAUGCGAUUUGAUCACAA
rnacentral:lncRNA from 1 species